rnacentral:rRNA from 1 species
CCUACGGGAGGCUGCAGUGGGGAAUAUUGGACAAUGGGCGCAAGCCUGAUCCAGCAAUGCCGCGUGUGUGAAGAAGGCCUGCGGGUUGUAAAGCACUUUAAGCAGGAAAGAAGGGGUGAAAGUUAAUACCUUUCAUCAUUGACGUUACCUGCAGAAUAAGCACCGGCUAACUCCGUGCCAGCAGCCGCGGUAAUACGGCGGGUGCGAGGGUUAAUCGGCGUUACUGGGCGUAAAGCGCAGGUCGUCGUGAAAGCCCUGGGCUUAACCUGGGAACUGCGGUGGAUACUGUCGGGCUAGAGUGUGGUAGAGGGGAGUGGAAUUUCCGGUGUAGCAGUGAAAUGCGUAGAGAUCGGAAGGAACACCAGUGGCGAAGGCGGCUCCCUGGACUAACACUGACGCUGAGGUGCGAAAGCGUGGGGAGCAAACAGGAUUAGAUACCCCAGUAGUC